rnacentral:rRNA from 1 species
UACAGAGGGGGCAAGCGUUAUUCGGAAUUAUUGGGCGUAAAGGGCGCGUAGGCGGCUUUUCAAGUGACGGGUGAAAUCCCUCGGCUUAACCGAGGAACUGCCUGUCAGACUGGAAGGCUUGAGACCGGGAGAGGUGAGUGGAAUUCCCAGUGUAGCGGUGAAAUGCGUAGAUAUUGGGAGGAACACCAGUGGCGAAGGCGGCUCACUGGACCAUAACUGACGCUGAUGCACGAAAGCUGGGGGAGCAAACAGG